rnacentral:rRNA from 1 species
GAUGAACGCUGGCGGCGUGCUUAACACAUGCAAGUCGAACGGAUUUUACAUGAAACCUAGUGAUUGUAAAGUUAGUGGCGGACGGGUGAGUAACGCGUGGGUAACCUGCCUUGUACAGGGGGACAACAGUUGGAAACGACUGCUAAUACCGCAUAAUAUAUCGAAAUCGCAUGAUUUUGAUAUCAAAGGAGCAAUCCGCUUGAAGAUGGACUCGCGUCUGAUUAGAUAGUUGGUGGGGUAACGGCCUACCAAGGCGACGAUCAGUAGCCGACCUGAGAGGGUGACCGGCCACAUUGGGACUGAGACACGGCCCAAACUCCUACGGGAGGCAGCAGUGGGGAAUC